UAUAUUGGACAAUGGGCGCAAGCCUGCUCCAGCCAUGCCGCGUGAGUGAUGAAGUCCCGAGGGUUGUAAAGCUCUUUUGUCCGGGCCGAUACUGACGGUACCGGAAAAAUAAGCCCCGGCUAACUUCGUGCCAGCAGCCGCGGUACUACGAAGGGGGCUAGCGUUGCUCGGGAUCACUGGGCGUAAAGGGCGCGUAGGCGGACGUUUAAGUGAGGGGUGAAAUCCCGCGGAUCAACCAAGGAAUGGCCUUUGAUACAGGAUGUCUCGAGACCGGAAGAGGUAAGUGGAACUGCGAGUGUAGAGAUGAACUUCGUAGAUAUUCGCAAGAACAGCAGUGGCGAAGGCGGCUUACUGGUCCGGUUCUGACGCUGAGGCGCGAAAGCGUGGGGAGCAAACAGG
rnacentral:rRNA from 1 species